rnacentral:rRNA from 2 species
AAAGUUGAAAAGAACUUUGAAGAGAGAGUUCAAGAGUACGUGAAACCGUCUAGAGGUAAGCGGAUGGACCCGUCCAGUCGGCCCUCGGAAUUCAGCUUUCGGGCGAUGCCGCCGACGCAGUUCUGAGAUUUCAGGACUCGCUCGGCGUCGGAUCGGCCGCUCGGGAGUGCACUUUCCGUGUUGGCAGAGCGUCGCGACCGGUUUCGCUUGGCGGUGAUAAGGCCCGCGGGAAGGUAGGUCCUCGGUCUUCGGGCCCUGGACUGUUACAGACCGUGGGAGAUGGCCGCUGCGGGACCGUGGAACGACCAGCCGUGUGGCGGUGAGGCUCUCCGUGCGCGUCUCGACUCCGAAGGACUGGUUUCGGCCGUGCUUUGGGACCGCGUCGUGCGGACGGGCUUUGCCAUAGCCUGCGGCAUGUAAGGGUCAGCGACACACGAUCGGUAAUCCACCCGGCCCGUCUUGAAACACGGACCAAGAAGUCCAACAUGUGCGCGAGUCAUUGGGUGCUACGAAACCUAAAGGCGCAAUGAAGGUGAGAGGUGAGAUCCCCGUCCACCGCGGCGAGGCGCAUCACCGGCCCGUCUGCAAAGGCGGAGCACGAGCGCACACGUUGGGACCCGAAAGAUGGUGAACUAUGCCUGAGCAGGACGAAGCCAGAGGAAACUCUGGUGGAAGUCCGCAGCGAUUCUGACGUGCAAAUCGAUCGUCAAACUUGGGUAUAGGGGCGAAAGACUAAUCGAACCAUCUAGUA